UACGUAGGGGGCAAGCGUUGUCCGGAUUUAUUGGGCGUAAAGAGCGUGUAGGCGGCUAGAUAGGUCCGUUGUGAAAACUCGAGGCUCAACCUCGAGACGCCGAUGGAAACCAUCUAGCUAGAGUCCGGAAGAGGAGAGUGGAAUUCCUGGUGUAGCGGUGAAAUGCGCAGAUAUCAGGAAGAACACCCGUGGCGAAGGCGGCUCGCUAGUACGGUACUGACGCUGAGACGCGAAAGCGUGGGGAGCGAACAGG
rnacentral:rRNA from 1 species